rnacentral:rRNA from 1 species
CCUACGGGUGGCUGCAGUGGGGAAUAUUGGACAAUGGGGGCAACCCUGAUCCAGCCAUGCCGCGUGUGUGAAGAAGGCCCUCGGGUUGUAAAGCACUUUCAGUGAGGAAGAACGCCUGGUGGUUAAUACCCAUCAGGAAAGACAUCACUCACAGAAGAAGCACCGGCUAACUCCGUGCCAGCAGCCGCGGUAAUACGGAGGGUGUGAGCGUUAAUCGGAAUUACUGGGCGUAAAGCGCGCGUAGGUGGCUUGAUAAGCCGGUUGUGAAAGCCCCGGGCUCAACCUGGGAACGGCAUCCGGAACUGUCAAGCUAGAGUGCAGGAGAGGAAGGUAGAAUUCCCGGUGUAGCGGUGAAAUGCGUAGAGAUCGGGAGGAAUACCAGUGGCGAAGGCGGCCUUCUGGACUGACACUGACACUGAGGUGCGAAAGCGUGGGUAGCAAACAGGAUUAGAUACCCCAGUAGUC